rnacentral:rRNA from 1 species
UACAGAGGUCUCAAGCGUUGUUCGGAUUCAUUGGGCGUAAAGGGUGCGUAGGCGGCUUGGUAAGUCGGUGGUGAAAACUAACAGCUCAACUGUUAGCUUGCUACCGAUACUACCAGGCUUGAGUAUAGUAGAAGUGGGCGGAAUUCUACAUGUAGCGGUGAAAUGCAUAGAUAUGUAGAGGAACACCGAUAACGAAGGUAGCUCACUGGGCUAUUACUGACGCUGAGGCACGAAAGCGUGGGGGAGCGAGCAGG